rnacentral:rRNA from 1 species
UGAACGCUGGCGGCGUGCCUACUACAUGCAAGUCGAGCGAACAGAUGAGGAGCUUGCUCCUCUGACGUUAGCGGCGGACGGGUGAGUAACACGUGGAUAACCUACCUAUAAGACUGGGAUAACUUCGGGAAACCGGAGCUAAUACCGGAUAAUAUAUUGAACCGCAUGGUUCAAUAGUGAAAGACGGUUUUGCUGUCAUUUAUAGAUGGAUCCGCGCCGCAUUAGCUAGUUGGUAAGGUAACGGCUUACCAAGGCAACGAUGCGUAGCCGACCUGAGAGGGUGAUCGGCCACACUGGAACUGAGACACGGUCCAGACUCCUACGGGAGGCAGCAGUAGGGAAUCUUCCGCAAUGGGCGAAAGCCUGACGGAGCAACGCCGCGUGAGUGAUGAAGGUCUUCGGAUCGUAAAACUCUGUUAUUAGGGAAGAACAAAUGUGUAAGUAACUAUGCACGUCUUGACGGUACCUAAUCAGAAAGCCACGGCUAACUACGUG